GAUGAACGCUGGCGGCGUGCCUAAUACAUGCAAGUCGAGCGAACGGACGAGAAGCUUGCUUCUCUGAUGUUAGCGGCGGACGGGUGAGUAACACGUGGAUAACCUACCUAUAAGACUAGGAUAACUUCGGGAAACCGGAGCUAAUACCGGAUGAUAUUUUGAACCGCAUGGUUCAAAAGUGAAAGACGGUCUUGCUGUCACUUAUAGAUGGAUCCGCGCUGCAUUAGCUAGUUGGUAAGGUAACGGCUUACCAAGGCAACGAUGCAUAGCCGACCUGAGAGGGUGAUCGGCCAGACUGGAACUGAGACACGGUCCAGACUCCUACGGGAGGCAGCAGUAGGGAAUCUUCCGCAAUGGGCGAAAGCCUGACGGAGCAACGCCGCGUGAGUGAUGAAGGUCUUCGGAUCGUAAAACUCUGUUAUUAGGGAAGAACAUAUGUGUAAGUAACUGUGCACAUCUUGACGGUACCUAAUCAGAAAGCCACGGCUAACUACGUG
rnacentral:rRNA from 1 species